AUGGAGUUCUACGCAUUGGACCAU
rnacentral:siRNA from 1 species